AAAUUGCUGGCGAAGGUGGGAGGAGCGGCCGGCAGGCGGCAGCAUGCGUACUCUGCUGACGCCACCCCGAAGGAUCCGGAAAACCAGAACGAUUCUCAUCAGAGCGCACCUCCUCCUCCCCUUGCGCGAAUGGGCCUCCGCUUCGCCCACCUCGCCGGCGGGGUCGCCCGAGCCGCCUUCUCUCGCCGUGGGCCACACCUCUCCGCAGCGUGCGCCCACCGCGUGCUCGCCCCUCUCGCCUCGCCGGGUGAGCCAAGCGGCGGCAACUGGCUCAUCCCUGCCCGCGGCCACGGUGGCCACUCCCACCACCACGGCGAGGAAAGCGGCGAGGCAUCUGAGAAGAUCUUCCGCUUGGGCCUCGCUGCUGACGUCGUCCUCACCGUAGGGAAAGCCAUCACCGGUUACCUCUCCGGCAGCACGGCCAUCACCGCCGACGCCGCUCACUCUCUCUCUGACAUCGUGCUGAGCGGGGUGGCUCUGCUGUCGUACAAGGCGGCCAAGGUUCCUAGAGACAAGGAUCAUCCGUAUGGUCAUGGAAAGUUCGAGAGUUUAGGAGCUCUUGGAAUUUCAAGUAUGCUGUUGAUUACUGCAGGUGGGAUUGCCUGGCAUUCUUUUGAAGUUCUUCAGGGAGUUAUGUCUUCUGCUCCUGAUAUAAUUGGCAACACAUCACAGAUGAAUCACAACCAUGGUAGUGGUGGGCAUAAUCAUGCAAUAGAUUUGGAACAUCCAGUCCUUGCAUUGAGUAUGACAACCUUAGCAAUAUCUAUCAAAGAAGGGCUCUAUUGGAUUACGAAAAGAGCUGGGGAGAAGGAAGGGAGUGGGCUGAUGAAAGCUAACGCAUGGCACCAUCGUGCGGAUGCUAUUUCAUCUGUUGUUGCCCUAGUAGGGGUAGGUGGCUCCAUUGUUGGAUUACCUUAUCUUGAUCCACUAGCUGGCCUUGUUGUCUUAGGCAUGAUUCUUAAAGCUGGUGUUCAGACAGGAUACGAGAGUACACUAGAGCUUGUUGAUGCAGCUGUUGAUCCAUCGCUUCUAGAACCAAUCAAGGAAACAAUUGUGAAGGUUGAUGGUGUAAAGGGGUGCCAUCGGUUGAGGGGAAGGAAAGCUGGGACCUCCUUGUAUCUUGAUGUGCAUAUCGAGGUAUAUCCUUUCUUGAGUGUCAGUGCAGCACAUGAUAUCGGGGAAACUGUCCGUCAUCAUAUACAGAAGACGCAUAAUCAAGUUGCCGAAGUUUUCAUACACAUAGACCCCUCAUAUUCAAUGGGUGCUAACGUGGACAAGAAAAGGAUUUUGGAGAACUUGGAGAGAAGAAAUUCAGACGUUAUUCCACGUCAACGAAGUGCAGAAGCUAUGGUGUCCGAUAUAAUUUCCUCCCACCUUCCAAAGAAAAUGUGUCUUGAACAUCUGAUGCUGCAUUACUUACAAGGACGGGUGUUGCUUCAGGUCCAAGUUUCAAUGUCUCCAGAAAUUUUGAUUCGGGAUGCGAUGGACAUCGCAAAAAAAGCCGAGGAGGAGAUCAUGAAGGCUGACGCCAGCAUAUGUCAAGUCAGCGUACAGCUGAGAUUGGGGCAACAAAUUGAGCAACUUCAGCUGGCCGCAAGCAAAAGCGGAGCAAACGAUCUACUCCCUCCGUUCGGAUUUAGAUGUCGUGGGGGUUCUAAAAUUUGAACUACGAAACAUUUAUAAGAAACCCCCUGCGCAUCUUCAAAUUGUACAAAAAUAGACAACGACAGGCGUGCGCGGCUCGCGCUUGAAGAAUCGGCCGCCGGCGAGGCUACAGGCUAGUGGAGCUCCAGCCGCCGGCCUGAUCCCGAUCCUUAUCCCCCUGCCAAAAAUCUCCUGAAGCUCCUCCGCUGCCUCCGGCCGUGGAUCAACGGAAUCGAGGCCAUCUCCUCCCACCACGACCGCCGCUGCCCCCACGAGCUCGACGCCGACGGCCGACCUCAGUCCUCCCCGAGCCAGUCCGAGCUCCCCCGCGCCGAGAGCUACGCCCGCCUCGAACCACGCUUGUCGGAAAGCCACGAAUCAACUGAAUCGCCACCGUCCCCUCCCAAUCCGGUCGCUGCUUGCCGCCGUUGAAGCUCGUCACGGUAGCUCCUCCGGUAAACAAAAAACAGCGGCGCUCAUGCUUCUGCUUCUGCUUCUGCAGCCGGUCGAGCUCGUGCUUCUGCUUCUCCCUGCAGCCGGUGGAGCUCGAGCUGCUGCUGCUUCCCUGCCUUCGAGUUCUUCUCUGAAGAAGUUACAGGUUGCUGCUGCUGCUCCUUGCUCUGAAAUUUUCUCAAAGAAUCUGAAAUUGCUGCUGCUCCUUGCUCUGAAAAAACAUUCCCCACUGAAAGCAUUGGAAUAAAUCAUAUAAUAACCAGUACUAGAUUUUUUAGCCUCUGCCUCUGCUACUGAAAUUGAAACUUGAAAAUGAAAUUGAAUUGAAUUGGAGUAUUAAAUCACAGUUUUUUAGUCCCCAUUUUUGAACCUAUGCUAAUCCUGCAAGCAGUAUAACACCAGGCAAUGUACUCCAAAUACUAUAAGAACUGGAGUAAAAGAUGACACAGAAUAUAAGAAGUACUCCUGCAUAUCACACCAAUGAUAGGUCUAAUUUAUGUUACUCAAUGAAAGUAGAAGAAAAAUGUUUCAGAGAAAAAUGUUACCGAAGGUAAACCUAGAAAAUGAGUUAUAUCUAGGACAGGCCAGUGCAAUUAUGCCUUCAUUUCAGAGAAAUCCAGUUAAAAUGACAGGUGUACAUCAAUAUUUUAAAUAGCACGCUAUUUCAUCGUUAUAACGCGGUUAUAGCAUAUUUAAAAGGGAGACGUUACGUUUUGGCAAAAUCAGACGCUACGGCGCUAAUCGCGUAAUUAGCGCGCUACACACGCUAUAACGUUGUAACAUUAUAACGUUAUAACAUGCAGACCAUGCAAAACUGAAAUAAGCACAGCCCAACAGGCCCAGCAGGCCAAAACCAACCCACGACCACUAGCUUUCUCACUCCUUUUAUCAGAUUCUCCCACUAGCUUUCUCACUCCUUUUAUCAGAUGCAUAUAUUGCUUGCUCCUAUGAAAAAUUUAGUUGCUUAAAUACUUUAUUUGUAGAUAUUUUGAUUUUUUUUUGUAAACGCUAUUUUGAAAUAUAGCACGCUAUUAGCGCGCUAUAACUUGUGUAGCAUUUAGAGAAGGGCCUCGCUAUAUUUUGUAGCGCGCUAUUUAAAAUAUUGAUGUACAUGCUGUAAGAUUUAAUUAAGAUUACACUGUCACUGCUAUACAAGGCUGAAUCUUAGUGUCAGUUAUCCAGGAUUUAACUAAGAUUUAAUUAUACACUGUCAAUUUCAAUGAUUUAAUUAAACAUACUAUAUGCAAUUCAGCACAAACGUUUGAUUAUCCCACUCUACUUACUGUCAAUUGGCAGGAGUAUAACUGUCAAUUGUCCAGGGCUGAGUCUUAAAAUGACAGGAGUAUGUUAAUUAUUCAGGGCUGAAUCUUAACACUGUAUUUGAUCAUGUCACUCC
rnacentral:rRNA from 1 species